CCUGGCUCAGGAUGAACGCUGGCGGCGUGCCUAAUACAUGCAAGUCGAACGAGUUCUGAUUAUUGAAAGGUGCUUGCAUCUUGAUUUAAUUUUGAACGAGUGGCGGACGGGUGAGUAACACGUGGGUAACCUGCCCUUAAGUGGGGGAUAACAUUUGGAAACAGAUGCUAAUACCGCAUAAAUCCAAGAACCGCAUGGUUCUUGGCUGAAAGAUGGCGUAAGCUAUCGCUUUUGGAUGGACCCGCGGCGUAUUAGCUAGUUGGUGAGGUAACGGCUCACCAAGGCAAUGAUACGUAGCCGAACUGAGAGGUUGAUCGGCCACAUUGGGACUGAGACACGGCCCAAACUCCUACGGGAGGCAGCAGUAGGGAAUCUUCCACAAUGGACGCAAGUCUGAUGGAGCAACGCCGCGUGAGUGAAGAAGGCUUUCGGGUCGUAAAACUCUGUUGUUGGAGAAGAAUGGUCGGCAGAGUAACUGUUGUCGGCGUGACGGUAUCCAACCAGAAAGCCACGGCUAACUACGUGCCAGCAGCCGCGGUAAUACGUAGGUGGCAAGCGUUAUCCGGAUUUAUUGGGCGUAAAGCGAGCGCAGGCGGUUUUUUAAGUCUGAUGUGAAAGCCCUCGGCUUAACCGAGGAAGUGCAUCGGAAACUGGGAAACUUGAGUGCAGAAGAGGACAGUGGAACUCCAUGUGUAGCGGUGAAAUGCGUAGAUAUAUGGAAGAACACCAGUGGCGAAGGCGGCUGUCUGGUCUGUAACUGACGCUGAGGCUCGAAAGCAUGGGUAGCGAACAGGAUUAGAUACCCUGGUAGUCCAUGCCGUAAACGAUGAAUGCUAGGUGUUGGAGGGUUUCCGCCCUUCAGUGCCGCAGCUAACGCAUUAAGCAUUCCGCCUGGGGAGUACGACCGCAAGGUUGAAACUCAAAGGAAUUGACGGGGGCCCGCACAAGCGGUGGAGCAUGUGGUUUAAUUCGAAGCAACGCGAAGAACCUUACCAGGUCUUGACAUCUUUUGAUCACCUGAGAGAUCAGGUUUCCCCUUCGGGGGCAAAAUGACAGGUGGUGCAUGGUUGUCGUCAGCUCGUGUCGUGAGAUGUUGGGUUAAGUCCCGCAACGAGCGCAACCCUUAUGACUAGUUGCCAGCAUUUAGUUGGGCACUCUAGUAAGACUGCCGGUGACAAACCGGAGGAAGGUGGGGAUGACGUCAAAUCAUCAUGCCCCUUAUGACCUGGGCUACACACGUGCUACAAUGGAUGGUACAACGAGUUGCGAGACCGCGAGGUCAAGCUAAUCUCUUAAAGCCAUUCUCAGUUCGGACUGUAGGCUGCAACUCGCCUACACGAAGUCGGAAUCGCUAGUAAUCGCGGAUCAGCACGCCGCGGUGAAUACGUUCCCGGGCCUUGUACACACCGCCCGUCACACCAUGAGAGUUUGUAACACCCGAAGCCGGUGGCGUAACCCUUUUAGGGAGCGAGCCGUCUAAGGUGGGACAAAUGAUUAGGGUGAAGUCGUAC
rnacentral:rRNA from 1 species